rnacentral:rRNA from 1 species
GUCCACGCCGUAAACGAUGAGUGCUAAGUGUUAGGGUUUCCGCCCCUUAGUGCUGCAGCUAACGCAUUAAGCACUCCGCCUGGGGAGUACGACCGCAAGGUUGAAACUCAAAGGAAUUGACGGGGCCCGCACAAGCGGUGGAGCAUGUGGUUUAAUUCGAAGCAACGCGAAGAACCUUACCAGGUCUUGACAUCCCAAUGACCGUCCUAGAGAUAGGAUUUUCCCUCGGGGACAUUGGUGACAGGUGGUGCAUGGUUGUCGU